rfam:Oryctolagus cuniculus chromosome 14, whole genome shotgun sequence.
GGUGCUGUGGCACAGUGGGUUAAUGCCCUGGCCUGAAGCGCCAGCAUCCCUUAUGGGCACUGGUUCGAGUCCCACCUGCUCCU